rnacentral:rRNA from 1 species
GACGAACGCUGGCGGCGCGCUUAACACAUGCAAGUCGAACGGAAAGGCCCUGCUUUUGUGGGGUGCUCGAGUGGCGAACGGGUGAGUAACACGUGAGUAACCUGCCCUUGACUUUGGGAUAACUUCAGGAAACUGGGGCUAAUACCGGAUAGGAGCUCCUGCUGCACGGUGGGGGUUGGAAAGUUUCGGCGGUUGGGGAUGGACUCGCGGCUUAUCAGCUAGUUGGUGGGGUAGUUGCUUACCAAGGCUUUGACGGGUAGCCGGCCUGAGAGGGUGACCGGCCACAUGGGGACUGAGAGACGGCCCAGACUCCUACGGGAGGCAGCAGUGGAGAAUAUUACACAAUGGGCGGAAGCCUGAUGCAGCGACGCCGCGUGCGUGAUGACGGCCUUCUGGUUGUAAACCGCUUUCGCCUGUGACGAGGCGUGAGUGACGGUAAUGGGUAAGGAAGCACCGGCUAACUACGUG